GAUGAAGAACGUAGCGAAAUGCGAUAAGUAGUGUGAAUUGCAGAAUUCAGUGAAUCAUCGAAUCUUUGAACGCACAUUGCGGCCAUAGGUAUUCCUUUGGCCAUGCCUGUUCGAGCGUCAUAUACACCCUCAAGCCUAGCUUGGUGUUGGGCGCCUGUCCCGCCGUUUUCGCGCGCGGACUCGCCUCAAAGUCAUUGGCGGCGGUCGUGCCGGCCCCCUCGCGCAGCACAUUUGCGCUUCUCGGAGGCCCGGCGGAUCCGCGCUCCAGCAAGACCUUUCACGACUUGACCUCGGAUCAGGUAGGGAUACCCGCUGAACUUAAGCAUAUCAAUAAGCGGAGGA
rnacentral:misc_RNA from 1 species